AGUGAACGCUGGCGGCAGGCCUAACACAUGCAAGUCGAGCGGCAGCGGGUUCCCGCGAGGGGAUGCCGGCGAGCGGCGGACGGGUGAGGAACACAUCGGAAUCUGCCUGGUUGUGGGGGAUAACGUAGGGAAACUUACGCUAAUACCGCAUGAGACCCUGAGUCGACGGACUGGGGGUGAAAGUGAGGGACCUUCGGGCCGUCACGCGACCAGAUGAGCCGAUGUCGGAUUAGCUAGUUGGCGGGGUAACGGCCCGCCAAGGCGACGAUCCGUAGCUGGUCUGAGAGGAUGAUCAGCCACACUGGGACUGAGACACGGCCCAGACUCCUACGGGAGGCAGCAGUGGGAAUCUUGGACAAUGGGCGCAAGCCUGAUCCAGCCAUGCCGCGUGGGUG
rnacentral:rRNA from 1 species